CCAGUCGAGACAAUGUGAACGGUGAACGAGUGAACGAGUGAACGAAAUGAACGAAAGAACGACUAGUUUGCGUUGGGAACGAUUUCGGUCACUCGUUCAUUCGAACGACCCGUUCAAUUUGAUUCGUUCGUUCGCGAACGACACAUCUCUACUCAGGAGCAUAGUGAAAGAUGAAAAUACUGUUGGUUGUACAGUGAAAUUUCGUUGUUUUAUGUUAAACCAACAAAAUUAAAUAAGUUGGUCCCAGUAUUCCUGAAAAAAUGACUGUUAACAAUACAAAUUGUUGUGUUUUUCGCUGCCAUAGCAAAAACAAUAGAAACAGUGGGCUCUCUUUUCAUAAAUUCCCCAUAAAAAACAAGUCAUUUGUUUAAAUGUUAUGAACAGGUUAGGAAUCAGGGAAAAAAAUGGACAGAUAUAAGACUUGGAUGGUAAAGCUAAAUAUGGGAAAACCAGCAACAAAGCACAUGAAAGUGUGUUCACUACAUUGUAAUCAGGAUGAUUUCAUAUUGAGGAUUUGAUUUGAGGACCCAGGUGGGUUAGUUAGCUUCGUGCUUGCCCACUACACCUUGGGUCGUGCGUUCGAUUCCCGCCUUGCCUUUUGGGUGUUGUGUAUGUCAUGUUUCCUGUAAUUGGGCCUCCAGCUUGUUAGAGACAUCAUAGGAUAAAAUAAAUAAAAAUAUUACCUGAUGUAAGUAUCAUUACUAAAGAAUUACUACCUAGAAGGCCCAAAAAUCGAGACUUUAAAGCAGUCAGAAGUACAACAAUGAGAAAAUCUGAAGGUUACAUAAUUUCAAGUACAGAUAGUACUGAUGUAAAUUGCUUCGACAGCAGUCAGUUACAUCAAAAAACUGUUUCAACAUUAGAAAUGGAAACCGUGCAGGCUUUGUUACAUUUACAAAAUUCACAAAAAAAGGAUAAAAAUAUUCAAGUGACAAGUGGAGAUUUAGUGGCACCUUUUAUAAGUACACUUAAAUCUGAUAAUGAUUUAAAUACAAUGGCUGGAAUACCAUCCUUUCUGUUAUUUAAUGCUAUUGUUGCAAAUUGUGAGAUGUUUGGAAAAUUCUGUAAUAAACAUAAAUUAAACUUGAAAGAACGUGUUCUGUUAACUUUUAUGAAACUGAAAAAUACAUUUUCUUAUGCUGUUUUA